UGGACAAAAAGAUGACGACGAUGGAUAGGAGAUGGAGCCAGCGGCAUCCGUACACAGAUCUCGCAACUCGUGCGCCCCAAAUCUCCCGGCGUACUCCGCGCCGCCCGCGGAUUCGAAGAUCCCGCGAAUCCCGCGCCGCCAGCCAUCACCUCAAGCCGAUCCGCGGUUCCGUACGCAAAUCCCAGAUAUCGCGGCUGCCACCAUCACCCACGCCGGCCGAUCCCAAAAAUCCCGCGAAAAACCUCGCUGUCGCUGUCGCCGUCGCCGUCGCCGUACGCAGAUCCCGCGGAUCGCGUUUCGUCUUGUCGCCGUCGACCGCCAGCAAAGGAGCCCGGGCCUUGAUCCCCCGAAGCCCUAUAAAUGGCGUCGGCGGGCGCAGAGGGAGAGGCCCAGGCACACGAACCCACCCACAUACACAGAGAGCUCAAAAAAAAAAAAAAAAAGAAAAAUAAGAAGAAAGAAAGUAAUCGAGAGAGGGAGGAGGAGUAACAAGAGAUAAAAGAAGAAGUGGAAAAAGGAGGAGGAGGAGGAGAAGAAGCGUUAAAAGAAUAAAAAAAAGGGGAAAAGAGCUCGGCUUCAGCUGCCGACGUUGCGCAAGUCGACGCCGCUCAAGUCGCCGGCCUCACCACCCAAGCCGACGCCGGUCUCGUUGCGUCCACAGCCGCCGUCGUGUCUGCCGCCGUAGCCACCCAAGCCGACGCUGCCGCCGCCGAGCUUAAUCGGAGGUGGCUUGAAUGUAAUAAAGAGGGCGUAAUUAACCGGGUACCCGUAGGUAUCCGGAAAGUAUGAAUCCUUUUAUCUCUGAAAAUUAUUAUCUAUUGUACUAUAUAUUUCUUUUCUCGCUAGUAAAGAAUAUAUAGUCAAAAAAAAAAUACCAGAUAAAAAAAGGGAUAGGGAAAUUGCACCCCUAAUAAAUUCUCAUGCUCACCAUUUUCUACUUUCUUUUUAUUUAUUUAAAUCUUUUCGUUUUUCCAUGGUUCAUUUUUCGGAAAAACAACGAGGGCCUAGAAUCUCUUCUGGAGUUUCACAAGAAGAGGCGUUAUAGUGCGAAGCGAGGAGGAAAUGUGGAUGCCAUGGGCACUUUGACCUCCCAAUUGCAUGAUGGAUUUGCCGCACCAGCACUACGAAUACCUGUGCCUGUAGUUCCUCAUAUUCUGUGGAUUUUAAAAUGCUAUCCAUGGAAGGCUUACCAUUAUAACUGAUUACUCGAAGAUAAGAAGAAUAGGAUCCAGUUCCUUGAAUGUUUGAAAACAUGACAGGCACUGUUGUGAAGCGGAAAAAAGGAAAAUUUCGUGUUGAUUUAGCUCAUCCAGGUGAUGAAAUUGUGGUCGCUAGAGCGGACAAGGUGGGGUAAGUAGCAUCUUAUGAUGAUACAUGCAGAAAAUGAGGUUUCUUUUGUAUCUUGUAGGUUAAGAGGUAUAAUAUAAACCAAUCCGCUUCGGUUUAUCUGAAACAUAAAUAUCUGUCUGAUUACGAUAAAAAUUUUCAUGCAUACUGAAUAGGCUUCAACUCGUAUUUGUUUGUAUUUUGUAUUGCUAGUCCUAGAUAUAUUUAGGAAACACAUCAUGCUGGUGGGAGAUUGACUCAUUAAAUAACAUAUUAACAUCAAAAUCUAGGGACUAGAGAAGCUGCAAAGUUCAAGGAUAAAUUGAGGGCAAAAGUUUUAUUAAUCCUCAGACUCCUGCCAUUUACGAUAUAUGAGUAGUAAAUUAAUAAAAUUUGAGAAGGGAAUUCAAAUCAAUCCAUGAAUCUAAACUCGAUUGCUUUAACAGUUAAAAAUUGUCGAUAGCUUUAACUCAUUUAUCUGAAGUUUGAACAACUGUAAAAUUUUACAUUUCAGACCUCUGGAAGA